GAAAGCGGGAGGUGUACACCACGAGAGAGACUUAUAAAGAAUAUGCCCCAAAAUCCUAAUUGAAUGAGAUAAUUAGUCAUUGCGAUUAUUGCCAGAGCAAUAGAGGUGAAUUGAUUAAAGUGAAUCAGGAUGACGAAGUUUAUUGGAUCAGGAAGGGGAGGAAAAAAGCGGUUCGAGAUUAGGAGUACAGACCACUGCCUGAAAGGCAUUGGCAAACCAACAAUUCGCCGUUUGGCCCGUCGUGGAGGUGUAAAAAGGAUUUCUGAGUUGAUUUAUGAAGAAAUACGAAUGGUACUUAAAGCAUUCCUGGAGAAUGUCAUUCAAACUGCCAUGAUUUAUACUCAGCAUGCCAAAAGGAAGCUAGUUUCACCACUUGAUGUGGUGUACGCUCUCAAACAUGUGGGGCGUCCCCUGUAUGGAUUCGAGGGAUGAUUGUGCAUAAUGAAGUACACUCCAUUUUUUAUUUAUUCUUUUUCACUUUUUUACACUGACAGUAUAAUCAUCCUUCUUAAUUGAAGACCAAUCAUAUUCUAGUUUAGAAAAAUGUUGUUCAAACAUUUGACUACUUUAAUGAGCUUAGUUUAGUCCGGGGCAAUUCCUAUUACCCUUGAGGAGAACAUUCUGAGAAACAUGAUGAGGACACAUAGGAAUGACUUUAAAAAAUGUGUUAAAAAAUUUGAAUCCUGUACUGGGACAUGUGCACUUGAAGGCAACCCAUUAAUCUAUUAAACGGAAAUGGAUUACCUCGGGAUGAGAUUUUGGUCGAAAGCUUGUAGUAAUAAAUGGUGACGUUGUAAAAGA